GCUUAUCACCAUUCCAGAUUGAAUAUACCCGAUCUCGUCUGAUCUCGGAAGUCAAGCAAUCUCGGGCUUGGUUAGUACUUGGAUGGGUGACCGCUUGAGAUACCAAGUGUGAUAAGCA
rnacentral:rRNA from 1 species